rnacentral:rRNA from 1 species
GACGAACGCUGGCGGCGUGCUUAACACAUGCAAGUCGAACGGAAAGGCCCUGCUUUUGUGGGGUGCUCGAGUGGCGAACGGGUGAGUAACACGUGAGUAACCUGCCCUUGACUUUGGGAUAACUUCAGGAAACUGGGGCUAAUACCGGAUAGGAGCUCCUGCUGCAUGGUGGGGGUUGGAAAGUUUCGGCGGUUGGGGAUGGACUCGCGGCUUAUCAGCUUGUUGGUGGGGUAGUGGCUUACCAAGGCUUUGACGGGUAGCCGGCCUGAGAGGGUGACCGGCCACAUUGGGACUGAGAUACGGCCCAGACUCCAACGGGGGGCAGCAGUGGGGAAUAUUGCAAAAUGGGCGGAGGCCGGAUGCAGAAACGCCGCGUGGGGGAUGACGGCCUUCGGGUUGUAAACCGCUUUCGCCUGUGACGAAGCGUGAGGGACGGUAAUGGGUAAAGAAGCACCGGCUAACUACGU